AACAAAGACCCCAAACAAUUCAUAUGCAUUUGGAUUCCUCUGCUCAUGGCUCCACUUCAUCAAUAUUUCCCACUUCAGUUAGAAUCCUGUUCUAAGACCCAUUAUUGGAUGCAGUUUUUUGGAAUAACUUUGUAGGAAUAUGAAAUAAAAAAUAAAGGAGAAAAGCUAAAACUACAUAAAUUCUGCUGGAAGGAUCCCCGAGAACGAAUUGCAGGGAUUUGCCUCCUAUUUGCAGAAUUUGCAAAAAGAAAAAGAAAAAGAAGAUAAAGAAAUGACAAGUCUUUCAGCCUAACAUCUGACCCUUCGAAAUUGGUAGAAGCACACGGAAAGGCAAAGCAUCACACCAACAAAUGGGAAGGAAGGAAAUAGGAAUGGUGCAGUAGAAGUUUAUUAAAGAUCCCAACGCAUUUCAGCCAGAAUUAUAUAUGCACAGAAAUGGAAGAGUAAUGAACUGCCUUCAAAAGAGGAUUGGCUGAUAAAAAUUUUGGAAUAUGCGGAGAUGGCAAAACUUACAACACUGAUAACAGAUCAAAAUUUGGAAGGCUUCAAAGAAGAUUGGAAACCAUUCUUGUUGUAUCUAAAGGAUAAUUUCCCUACUAUGGACUUUACAGCAGGGAUUGAAAUUUAGUAAAAAACUGCAGGUUGGGUAGAUUAACUGUGUUUGUAAGGGUUUAAAUUUAUGUUUUGAAUUAUUAUUAUAGCAAGGGUAAACUCUAUAGUCGAUGAUUCACGAAGAGAGGUGUGCGGGAAGUCCACUUUUGUGUAUAUUGUAAUGAAUGACAAUAUUAUUAUUGUUAAAAUCAAUAAAAAUCAAAUUUGAAAAAAAGAAAAUAAAACUACCACAAUACCACAA